rnacentral:rRNA from 1 species
UUAGCGGAUGACUUGUGGCUGGGGGUGAAAGGCCAAUCAAACCGGGAGAUAGCUGGUUCUCCCCGAAAGCUAUUUAGGUAGCGCCUCGUGAAUUCAUCUCCGGGGGUAGAGCACUGUUUCGGCAAGGGGGUCAUCCCGACUUACCAACCCGAUGCAAACUGCGAAUACCGGAGAAUGUUAUCACGGGAGACACACGGCGGGUGCUAACGUCCGUCGUGAAGAGGGAAACAACCCAGACCGCCAGCUAAGGUCCCAAAGUCAUGGUUAAGUGGGAAACGAUGUGGGAAGGCCCAGACAGCCAGGAUGUUGGCUUAGAAGCAGCCAUCAUUUAAAGAAAGCGUAAUAGCUCACUGGUCGAGUCGGCCUGCGCGGAAGAUGUAACGGGGCUAAACCAUGCACCGAAGCUGCGGCAGCGACGCUGAUGCGUUGUUGGGUAGGGGAGCGUUCUGUAAGCCUG